AGAGUUUGAUCCUGGCUCAAGACGAACGCUGGCGGCGUGCUUAACACAUGCAAGUCGAACGAGGUCCACUGAGUAGCAAUACGAGGGAAGACCUAGUGGCGAACGGGUGAGUAUCACGUGAGAAACCAACCCCGGUCUCUGGGAUAACAGUUGGAAACGACUGCUAAUACUGGAUGUCGUCGUACCCUCGCAUGGGGGGAUGACGAAAGGGUUACCGGAUCGGGACGGUCUCGCGGCCUAUCAGCUUGUUGGGGAGGUAACGGCUCACCAAGGCUUCGACGGGUAGCUGGUCUGAGAGGAUGAUCAGCCACACUGGGACUGAGACACGGCCCAGACUCCUACGGGAGGCAGCAGUGGGGAAUCUUGCGCAAUGGGCGAAAGCCUGACGCAGCAACGCCGCGUGCGGGAUGAAGGCCUUCGGGUUGUAAACCGCUUUUAACAGGAACGAAAAUGACGGUACCUGUAGAAUAAGGUGCGGCCAACUACGUGCCAGCAGCCGCGGUGACACGUAGGCACCAAGCGUUGUCCGGAUUUAUUGGGCGUAAAGAGCUCGUAGGCGGUUCAGUAAGUCGGGUGUGAAAACUCUGGGCUUAACCCAGAGACGCCACUCGAUACUACUGUGACUAGAGUUCGGUAGGGGAGCGGGGAAUUCCUAGUGUAGCGGUGAAAUGCGCAGAUAUU
rnacentral:rRNA from 1 species